rnacentral:rRNA from 1 species
UACGUAGGGUGCGCGCGUUAAUCGGAAUUACUGGUCGUAAAUCUUGCGCAGGCGGCUUUGCAAGACAGAUGUGAAAUCCCCGGGCUCAACCUGGGAACUUCAUUUGUGACUGCAAGGCUAGAGUACGGCAGAGGGGGAUGGAAUUCCGCGUGUAGCAGUGAAAUGCGUAGAUAUGCGGAGGAACACCAAUGGCGAAGGCAAUCCCCUGGGCCUGUACUGACGCUCAUGCACGAAAGCGUGGGGAGCAAACAGG